AGGGUUUGAUUAUGGCUCAGGACGAACGCUGGCGGCGUGCUUAACACAUGCAAGUCGAACGAGAGGAGAAGGAAGCUUGCUUCUUUCAAAUCUAGUGGCAAACGGGUGAGUAACACGUAAACAACCUGCCUUCAGGAUGGGGACAACAGACGGAAACGACUGCUAAUACCGAAUACGUUCCUUAGGUCGCAUGACUUUAGGAAGAAAGGGUGGCCUCUACUUGUAAGCUAUCGCCUGAAGAGGGGUUUGCGUCUGAUUAGGUAGUUGGUGAGGUAACGGCCCACCAAGCCGACGAUCAGUAGCCGGUCUGAGAGGAUGAACGGCCACACUGGAACUGAGACACGGUCCAG
rnacentral:rRNA from 1 species